rnacentral:rRNA from 1 species
UACGUAGGGCGCGAGCGUUGUCCGGAAUGAUUGGGCGUAAAGCGUCCGCAGGUGGCAGUUCAAGUCUGCUGUCAAAGACCGGGGCUUAACUUCGGAAAGGCAGUGGAAACUGAACAGCUAGAGUAUGGUAGGGGCAGAGGGAAUUCCUGGUGUAGCGGUGAAAUGCGUAGAGAUCAGGAAGAACAUCGGUGGCGAAGGCGCUCUGCUGGACCAUAACUGACACUCAGGGACGAAAGCUAGGGGAGCGAAUGGG